CCUAGCUUCAUGACAAUGGCACGUGGGAGAACUGGGGAUUUCAACAGUUGCGUGGUCCCAGAAUGACAGAGUUGGCAAACCAGGUUUGACCCCUGAGACUACACACCUAACGGCUUGGCUAGAACCGUUUUAAAGGCUCAACCACUCAGUGAGGAAACUCAAUAAUUCUGACCCUAACAGAGCAAGAGGCCUGACCUUCACACCUAUGUAACCCAAGGUCACAGAAAUGCUGAGGGGCCAUGUGACUCCAGUGAAGCAGGAGUAUCCAUCCAGCCACAGAGAUGGGACCUGUCCAAAUGGGACCUGUCUGUUCCAAAGGUUAUUCUGCUUGAAAAUCAGGCCAGGCAUGGUGGCUCACAACUGUAAUCCCAGCACUAUAGGAGGCCAAGGCAGAUGGAUGGCUUGAGCCUAGGAGUUUGAGACCAGCCUGGGCAGAAUAGUGAGACCCUAUUUCUACAAAAAAUACAGAAAAAUCAGCCAGGCUUGGUGGCAUGCUCCUGUAGUCCGAGCUACUCGGAAAGCUGAGGUGGGAGAGUCACUUCAGCCUGGGAGAUCAAGACUGCAGUGAGCAGUGAUGAAACUACUGCACUCCAGCCUGGGUUUCAGAGCAAGUCCCUGUCUCAGAAAGAAAAAAAAAAGAAAAAAGAAAACAAGUCAGUAUUUUCCCCCCAAAGAAAGGCUCAUGGGAAUCUUACAAAAUGAGGUUUUAGGAACCAAAAUUACUUCAUGUAGUACUCUCUAGUAAAGGCAGAGGAUGCAAAUGUUGCAGUGGGUCUCUGGUCAGCCGCCAUGAGUCUCUUGGAUCUAACACUUGCUCUCUUCAGACUUCAGUUUCCUCAUAAGGUGAGAACAAGGCUGUAUCUCAGUGCUCUGGGCCUGCUCACACAUCCUGCUCAUAUGAAUGUGAGAGCCACACCAGCCCUCUGGGAAGUAGUCCCUCAAACAGCAGCCCAGUGCAGGGGGAAGGAUGCAAACACUACAGGCAGAUCAGUUUAAUCCACUUUUGGGCAGGGUGACCUUAGGAAAGCCCAUUUCCUUCUGCCUCAAUUGUCACCUCUGUAAAAUGGAAACAAUAAUAUUUAUUUCCGUGGCUGUUUGGAGGAUUACAUAAAAUAACAAAUACAGUGGCAUUCCAUUUUUCUGAGGCAAUUAUGUUCUAUAAAGUCACUGCAAACACUGAAUUACUGGAAUAGUGAGCCAUUGCUCUUACUGGAAAUACAGGAUUAGGUUCCUGAAAAAUCUCUGGUCACAACAUCUUUGUCAACUGAUCAAUACAUAACCAUGAUGUAUGUGUGUUUCUUUUUAAAGGUACCUUAUUUAAUAUCAUUGUUGAUUCAUUAAUAUUAAACUCAU
rnacentral:lncRNA from 1 species